GCUGGUAGCUCAGUUGUAGAGUGCACGCUUUGUAUGUCUGAUGUCCUGGGUUCAAUCCACGUCUUCGCC